GAUUAACGCUGGCGGCAUGCCUAAUGCAUGCAAGUAGAACGGGGUAGUAGCAAUACUACCCAGUUGCGAACGGCUGAGUAAUGGAUAGGAAUCUCCCUUUUGGCGCGGAAUACCUCAUCGAAAGAUGAGCUAAUACCACAUAAGACCUACGGGUGAAAGCACGUAACUGUGCACCGAUUGAUGAGCCUAUCUCCCAUCAGGCUGUUGGUAGGGUAAUGGCCUACCAAACCUAUGACGGGUAGGGGCGUGAGAGCGCGUUCCCCCAGAAUGGUACUGAGACACGGACCAUACACCUACGGGUGGCAG
rnacentral:rRNA from 1 species